ACUGCAUGAAGUUGGAAUCGCUAGUAAUCGCGGAUCAGCAUGUCGCGGUGAAUACGUUCCCGGGUCUUGUACACACCGCCCGUCACACCAUGGGAGCGGGUUUUACCAGAAGUAGGUAGCUUAACCGUAAGGAGGGCGCUUACCACGGUAGGAUUCGUGACUGGGGUGAAGUCGUAACAAGGUAGCCGUAUCGGAAGGUGCGGCUGGAUCACCUCCUUUCUA
rnacentral:rRNA from 2 species